rnacentral:lncRNA from 1 species
UUCAAUCUCAACCCUUUUUUCCCUGUCUCUUCAUCUUCUUUUCUUCAAUCUCAAAAUCCAAAAUAAAAAUACUCAUUAAAUUUUCUUUCCUUUCUCUUUCUUUCAUUUUCUUCAAUUUCAGAAAUCAAAAUGUGAAUACCCACCUGCCAAUCUUUUUUCUUUCUCUUUUCUUUCUUUUUUAAUUUAUCAACAAUGAAAAUUGAUGUUGAAUUUAUGAUUGUACAAGAAGAUAAGUACAAUAAUGAUUGAAUUUAUUUUCAAUUUGAUAAAUUCACCAAUAAACAUCUAGCAAAGAUUAACUUGAAUUUAGAGAUUUCUACCAUUCACUUUCUUCUUCAUUGCAUUUAAUUUUUUAAUUCCACUCCAAAUUUGGUAAAAGGGGUGGGAGUGGGGAUGGGGGCUGGCGGUGGUAGUGGCAGCCAAUGGGGUGGUGGUGGCGGGUGAGAUAAAAUUCAUAAUAUGAAUUAUGAAGGAAACAUUUUUGUGGUAUAAUUUAGAAUUUGAUGGUGGGUUUUGAAGAUUCAAAAAUGACACCACCAUCAUAGUUAUGGGUGAGAUGAAAUCCAUAAUUUAAAUAUUCUUAAUUUUUUUGAUGUUACAUUCUUAAUUCUUACAAUUUCGGUAAGAUUUUGAAAAAAUUGGACAAUGAAAAAAGAGAAAAGGUUGAAGAUUUAUAUGGGAGAAAAAUGGAGGAAGGUAAAGAAAUGGUUAAUGGUGGAGAUGACACUGGACGCUGGUGGCGGCGGCUGCAUUGGUGGGUGGUGGUGGAGAUAUUUUGGGUAUGGUGAAAGGAAGAAGAAAGAAUAUAUAUAUAUAUAUAUAUAUAUAUAUAAAAGAGGAAUCGAACCCAUUUAUUUCCAUGUUUUGGAAAUUUUCUAAUAUAUAUAUAUUAAAAAUAAAGUUUCAAUAUUUUUUUGGUGUUCACUCUCUUAAAAAGAGUGAAACACACUCUCUUUGCCAUGUCAGCCUUUAAGGGUGUUAUAGUUUUAGUUUUAAAUAGUUCGGAGGGGGGGGGUCAUAGGACCCCCGCAAAGUUCAGUAUGUGCAACUAUAAAUUUAGGUAAAGUACAAGUAUUUUUUAGACUAUUAUAUCUUUAUUUAAAGAUGGAUAAUUAUAUAUGAGAUAAAAAAGAAACAUUUAUUUAGGAUCACUCACAACCAAAGAGCUACUAAAAAUUGAAGAAAAAAAAAUUAAAUGUGCAUUUUGUUACUAUAAAUUAAG